GACGAACGCUGGCGGCGUGCUUAACACAUGCAAGUCGAACGGAAAGGCCUCUUUCGGGGGGUACUCGAGUGGCGAACGGGUGAGUAACACGUGAGUAACCUGCCCUUGACUUUGGGAUAACUUCAGGAAACUGGGGCUAAUACCGGAUAGGAGCUCCUGCUGCAUGGUGGGGGUUGGAAAGUUUCGGCGGUUGGGGAUGGACUCGCGGCUUAUCAGCUUGUUGGUGGGGUAGUGGCUCACCAAGGCUUUGACGGGUAGCCGGCCUGAGAGGGUGACCGGCCACAUUGGGACUGAGAUACGGCCCAGACUCCUACGGGAGGCAGCAGUGGGGAAUAUUGCACAAUGGGUGGAAGCCUGAUGCAGCAACGCCGUGUGCGGGAUGACGGCCUUCGGGUUGUAAACCGCUUUCGCUCAUGACGAAGCUUUGUGUGACGGUAGUGGGUAAAGAAGCACCGGCUAACUACGUG
rnacentral:rRNA from 1 species